UGGGGAAUAUUGGACAAUGGGCGCAAGCCUGAUCCAGCCAUGCCGCGUGAGUGAAGAAGGCCUUAGGGUUGUAAAACUCUUUCGCCGGGGAAGAUAAUGACGGUACCCGGAGAAGAAGCUCCGGCUAACUUCGUGCCAGCAGCCGCGGUAAUACGAAGGGAGCUAGCGUUGUUCGGAAUUACUGGGCGUAAAGCGCACGUAGGCGGACUUGUCAGUCAGGGGUGAAAUCCCAAGGCUCAACCUUGGAACUGCCUCCGAUACAGCAAGCCUAGAGAUCGGGAGAGGUGAGUGGAAUUCCUAGUGUAGAGGUGAAAUUCGUAGAUAUUAGGAAGAACACCAGUGGCGAAGGCGGCUCACUGGCCCGAUACUGACGCUGAGGUGCGAAAGCGUGGGGAGCAAACAGGAUUAGAUACCCGGGUAGUCCCUGAGCGGGCUGGCAAGGCG
rnacentral:rRNA from 1 species